UGCACAGUUGGCUGGACCUCUUCUAAUGAGUCAGACAGGCAGCACUAGUCACCAUUCAGCCACACAGACAGGUCAGAGAAUGAGCAGAGAAGGAGGAAAACAUGAGAGCCUGGCCUGACAAAAAGCAGGAAGAGGUGAAUAGUGACCACACGAUAGCAAGCACUAAAUGAGUUUAGGCCUCAGCCUUAUUGGAUGUAAGCUGGAUGAAACCGUGGGUAAGAGCGGAUGGCAAUUUAUGCUGAGCACAAUCAGGACUAUUCAGCGUUGGGUAGGCUGGUCCUCCCCACAGGAGUGAGGCCCAAUCACAGUCCUAAUGAACACAUUGAGAGCUGUCUGCUCCAAAUGAGUCCCAGUAGGAGCUGGCCGACAGCUCUUCUGUGUCCGUCUGCUAUGAGGCCGGCGUUCCAGUUUGGCUGUUGAAAGCUGGCCUCGCUGAACCAUGGGGUCAGCAAACCUCCAGCGCUUCUCCAGCUUGUGCUUCAUCCUCUACCACACUGGGGGCACCUGGCACCCCUCCCUACCAUUGGCAGGCCAGAUCAAUGGUAAGAUCCAUUCGAGCAGAAUGACCGGAGGUCGACAUCAAAGGCCCCCCGCUUGUCUCGCUGCCACCUGGAGCUCAGUAAGGGUCAUGGGCCGCCUGCGCCACCACUGCCGCCUCUUGCUUUCAGCUGGCUGGGUAUCCAGACUGGGACUCGGACAGGGUAUGAGUUGGCUCUGCCUUGGCCCAGCCAACCACAUGGGGAGAGGGCCAGAGGUCAAGCCCAUCAGAUCACUUUGCUUCAUCUGAUGGAAGGAUCUGGUCUGGUUUUAAUGAGGCAAUGCUGAUUCCAGCUUGAAGCUUUAUGCAUAUGAGCAGGCCUAAUGUGUUGAUUGUACUAAACAUAAUGCUGUGAUUUUUCUUCCAGUCACUGGAUGCAGAGGAAGCAUCCUAGCUGUUUAUAGGUAUAUUUUAAUACCAAAAUUAUAAUCUUGUUUCAAAUGCAUGUCACAUAUGCAAAUUGUUUUCACUUAAAAAAGGUCUCUCAAGUUGUGUAAAAUGUAGUAAUUCCUCAUAUAAUGAAGAUGAAAAUGACAAUUCUGCCUUUAUUACAAAACUUUGACUUUCUUUCAUCUGUGGGACAUGAAAGGAUAUAUUUAAAAAAAGAUUUCUAUGUUUUUUUUCCUCCAUGUCAUAAAAGCCAAUGGCGUCCAAAAACAAUUGAAACAUUCUUCAAAAUGACUUCUUUUUUGUUCAGCCGAAGAAAGAAAGUCUUACAGGUUUGGAACGUGAUGACAGAACUGUCAUUUUUGGGUGAACCAUCCUUUAUUUCAAUUGAUUGUAAUGCUGUGAGUUUUUAAAAUUAUUAAUUUUAGAAAACAGUAGAUAGCCAAUUAUUGUGGAAAAUAUAUUUAUUAAUACAACGUUUCCCAUAUGAACACUGUGGCUCUUUUCAGCAAAAUGUUGGUCAUAUGGUGAAAGAACAGGCAAUUAUUUUCAUGCAGCUGUCAAUGCUCUGAACAGGCUAAUACAGUCUAAUUAAAUGUCAUUUCUUGGGCCACUAAUGAAAAUGAACAACUCAGAGGGGUUUUUAAUAUCUCUGUGAAGCACUUUAACUGCCGGAGCCCUGCAGUCGGCGACUUGUUCCUUCUAUGUCCCUUACUUGUGUGAUGAGGGAUGAAAGGGGACGCAAUGAGAGACAGAGAGAAAGAGAGGAAAAAGGCAAGUUUGGCAAAUAGAUGAGUGAAGGGGGAGACAGAUGGCGUGAAGUCUGCAUCUCUUUGGCGUUGGGCUCAUGGUGCUAAAAUCCUCCCUCUCACACAUUCCAACAAAUCCAACCAGGAGGCUCAGGAGUAUGUUCCACUGCUCUCGAAAUGAAGCAUCUGACCAGGAUAAAGCCAUGCACACACACACACUUUCUCACUGUCUCUCUCCCUCUUUCACACACACGCACACAUACAUUCACACACUGUCAGUCACCCGUAACCUAUCCAGAAGUUUACAUUUUUAUUAGUAUGUCACCCGUUCCGGAGUUUAUUGGCUUGUUAAAAUAGGACGCUUUGGGAGUUGGGGAAGAGAGAACAUGGGGCCAUGACUUUAAAUAUUGCAGUAGAGAAAAGGAAACCAAGUGCCAUUCAAGUGUAAAAUCUCAUUGAGUAAACAUAGGGCCAAGGCAUGGAAACAAAGUGCGUAUAGUCACGCUAGCCACCACAUUAGCUUGUACUCCUGAUAAGUUUGCUGCCAGUUAUUCCCCGCCAGUUUGGACUGAAAUUGUACCUCUUUUUAAUCGACGCCUCUAAUUUAUAAAAGUAUAUAAAGCUGAUCUGCUUGGCAUAUACAGUAAUUUAUAUGUGUCUCAUAUUGUUUAUCAGCCAACCAAGCUUCUGUUCUGCGCCUCACUCUAGUUUUAUGAAGCAGCUAAGGUUUAUUUUAACAUAGCGCUAUAUUUUAUUUGUCAUUUAGCUGAAAUGUACUGUUGACAUAAAAAGACCAUGUGUUCCUCCUGUCAGCCAGAUGCAAAAGGCACAGAUGGGCUUCCUUUUUUCCCCCAAAUGGAGCUCUUGAUAGCAGACAAUUAAUGUGCCUUUGAUUGAGCUCUACAGUACUCUCCCAUUGAUUUUUGGAAAAUGUAUUCAUUGAAGGCAUAUGAUCAGCCACGGAUGAAUCUUGUCAGAUGUGCCAAAUCACAAAUGAAACGCUUUAGUGCCUCUCCCUCCAACCUCCAGGGCUAAGAGCUCUUGCAUGAGACACAGACACACGCACACCACUCUUUUCCUCUCUCGCUGGUUCACUAUCUCUCUCGCUCACUCUCUAGAUGGAUGGCUGAGUCCUGCCUUCUGUUUGCACUGCCAUACUAAUGAAUGAGUCAGCUGGGAAUAUGUAAUAUUGUGAAAAGGUCACCGGAGGCAUGUGUAUCACAUUACUGUUAAUGAUAAUAAAAAGAACAAUCUGUGCAAAUCUAUCUUUGAAAUCAUUUUUAUUCCUUCCUACUGUGAGUGAUUUUAUCUGUCAUUACUCUUUUCCUUUCUGUUGUGGGCUGGUGGAUAUGCAGGGAAAAAUGUACUGUAAAAACGAUCACCGGAUUUAUCUCUUAUCUGUUUAAUUGAUCCACAGUUAUCGUCAAGAGCAUUGUAUGGAAUACAAGGAUCAUCACCUUUGAAUCAACAUUAUGCAAAAAUAAAAAGAGGUAGUUCACCCCCAAACUAAUAUGAUUUACUCACUCUUAUGUUAUUUUAAACCUGCCUGACUUUUGCAAAAGAAGAAAGUCAUCACAACAGAAGUUUCACAACAUCAUGUUUAAUUUGAAGGUCCGAAUCAUUAAUUCAGACCAGGAGAUCUUUUUCAUGACUUCAUCUUUAGUAU